UUGCACGUUGCACCCCGGGCUUCUCUGAAUUUAUUCAAUGACGAAGAAAGCCCCAAUGCUCGUGCUAAAGUGGCGCCGUUUAGUGUUGCAGUUUAGCUUUGAUUUUCAACAGCUUAUCUGUGUCAAAAUAACAGGCUAAAUCU
rnacentral:snoRNA from 1 species